GACGAACGCUGGCGGCGUGCCUAAUACAUGCAAGUAGAACGCUGAAGCUUGGUGCUUGCACCGGGCGGAUGAGUUGCGAACGGGUGAGUAACGCGUAGGUAACCUGCCUGGUAGCGGGGGAUAACUAUUGGAAACGAUAGCUAAUACCGCAUAAGAGUAGAUGUUGCAUGACAUUUGCUUAAAAGGUGCAAUUGCAUCACUACCAGAUGGACCUGCGUUGUAUUAGCUAGUUGGUGAGGUAACGGCUCACCAAGGCAACGAUACAUAGCCGACCUGAGAGGGUGAUCGGCCACACUGGGACUGAGACACGGCCCAGACUCCUACGGGAGGCAGCAGUAGGGAAUCUUCGGCAAUGGACGGAAGUCUGACCGAGCAACGCCGCGUGAGUGAAGAAGGUUUUCGGAUCGUAAAGCUCUGUUGUAAGAGAAGAACGAGUGUGAGAGUGGAAAGUUCACACUGUGACGGUAUCUUACCAGAAAGGGACGGCUAACUACGUG
rnacentral:rRNA from 1 species